UACAGAGAGUGCGAACGUUGUUCGGAAUUACUGGGCUUAAAGCGCACGUAGGCGGCAUCGUAAGUGUCGGGUGAAAUCCCACGGCUCACCCGUGGAACUGCCCGGCAGACUGCGAUGCUCGAGUGUGGUAGGGGAGAACGGAACUCCUGGUGGAGCGGUGAAAUGCGUAGAUAUCAGGAGGAACACCGGUGGCGAAGGCGGUUCUCUGGUCCACAACUGACGCUGAGGUGCGAAAGCGUGGGGAGCAAACAGG
rnacentral:rRNA from 1 species